UUGACUUGUAUGCUUUAAGAAUGUUUUUGAAGUACAAUGUAAUCAAAUAUGAUAAUAUGAAUAUUUUGAAUGAAAGGUUCUUGUUUGUGAAAUUAGUAUGUUCUUCAAAUAUGAACUACUUUAUCUACUUCACCUUAUCUUACUUGGGGAAUGGCUCUAUGUUGACUUGACAGGAACAUGGUUUCAGGACAGGCAGUCUGGCUGGACAACUUGACUCCCACGAACUAGAUGAGAUACUUAUAAAGUUGGAAGAUAACAGAUUAACCGAAACUGUAGGGAUACCUGUUGAGGAAGAUAAAGGUUCAUUUCGCCUUACUGCAUGCGUAUCAUCACAGGUAUUGGCUAUAGAGGAGCUCUUCAGACAUAGGGUGACAAAUGUUGUCUUCAUGGGCAUGGGUGAACCAAUGUUGAAUCUGAAGUCAGUUUUGGAAGCACAUAGGUGCUUGAAUAAGGUUCUAAAUUAUUUUCCAUUAAAUAUCUCUGGCGAAAAUACGAUGUAAUUAGAACCUGGAUCUUGAAUUAAAAGUAUGAUUUAGAUUCUUUAUCUGUUUGACAUUGCGACAAAAAAAA